rnacentral:rRNA from 1 species
AGGACGAACGCUGGCGGCGUGCUUAACACAUGCAAGUCGAACGAGGUCCAUCCAGUGGUAACACUGGAGAAGACCGAGUGGCGAACGGGUGAGUAACACGUGAGCAACCUGCCCCGAAGACUGGGAUAACAGCGGGAAACCGCUGCUAAUACUGGAUGCCCCCACCGGGCCGCAUGACCUGGUGAGGAAAUGGACUCCGCUUCGGGAGGGACUCGCGGCCUAUCAGUUUGUUGGUGGGGUAACGGCCUACCAAGACGACGACGGGUAGCUGGUCUGAGAGGACGAUCAGCCACACUGGGACUGAGACACGGCCCAGACUCCUACGGGAGGCAGCAGUGGGGAAUCUUGCGCAAUGGGCGAAAGCCUGACGCAGCAACGCCGCGUGAGGGAUGAAGGUCUUCGGGUUGUAAACCUCUUUCAGCAGGGACGAUUGUGACGGUACCUGCAGAAGAAGCCCCGGCAACUACGUGCCAGCAGCCGCGGU